rnacentral:rRNA from 1 species
GACGGAGGAUGCAAGUGUUAUCCGGAAUCACUGGGCGUAAAGCGUCUGUAGGUGGUUCAAUAAGUCAACUGUUAAAUCUUGAGGCUCAACUUCAAAAUCGCAGUCGAAACUAUUGGACUCGAGUAUAGUAGGGGUAAAGGGAAUUUCCAGUGGAGCGGUGAAAUGCGUAGAGAUUGGAAAGAACACCAAUGGCGAAAGCACUUUACUGGGCUAUCACUGACACUGAGAGACGAAAGCUAGGGUAGCAAAUGGG